rnacentral:rRNA from 3 species
AAAUUGAAGAGUUUGAUCAUGGCUCAGAUUGAACGCUGGCGGCAGGCCUAACACAUGCAAGUCGAACGGUAACAGGAAGCAGCUUGCUGCUUCGCUGACGAGUGGCGGACGGGUGAGUAAUGUCUGGGAAACUGCCUGAUGGAGGGGGAUAACUACUGGAAACGGUGGCUAAUACCGCAUAACGUCGCAAGACCAAAGAGGGGGACCUUCGGGCCUCUUGCCAUCAGAUGUGCCCAGAUGGGAUUAGCUUGUUGGUGAGGUAACGGCUCACCAAGGCGACGAUCCCUAGCUGGUCUGAGAGGAUGACCAGCCACACUGGAACUGAGACACGGUCCAGACUCCUACGGGAGGCAGCAGUGGGGAAUAUUGCACAA